AUUGAACGCUGGCGGCAUGCUCUACACAUGCAAGUCGAACGGUAACAGGCCGCAAGGUGCUGACGAGUGGCGAACGGGUGCGUAAUGCAUCGGAACGUGCCCAGUCGUGGGGGAUAACUACUCGAAAGAGUAGCUAAUACCGCAUACGAUCUAUGGAUGAAAGCGGGGGACCGUAAGGCCUCGCGCGAUUGGAGCGGCCGAUGUCAGAUUAGGUAGUUGGUGGGGUAAAGGCUCACCAAGCCAACGAUCUGUAGCUGGUCUGAGAGGACGACCAGCCACACUGGGACUGAGACACGGCCCAGACUCCUACGGGAGGCAGCAGUGGGGAAUUUUGGACAAUGGGCGCAAGCCUGAUCCAGCGAUGCCGCGUGCAGGAAGAAGGCCUUCGGGUUGUAAACUGCUUUUGUACGGAACGAAACGGCUCUGGUUAAUACCCGGGGCUAAUGACGGUACCGUAAGAAUAAGCACCGGCUAACUACGUG
rnacentral:rRNA from 1 species